CACAUACAUUCUCACUUCUACAAAAAAAAAUAAAAAAUAGCUGUGGGUGAAAACUGGUACUCAUUUCUAGAU